GCGGUGGAUCAUGUGGUUCAAUUCGACGACAACCGAGGAACCUCACCAGGGCUUGAAAUGCUGUCGACGAUUUUCUGAAAGGAAAAUCUUCUCACAAGGACGGCAGCACAGGUGCUGCACGGCCCUCGUCAGUUCGUGGCGUGAGUUGUUCCCUUAAGUGGGGUAACGAACGCAACCCCUGUUGCCUGUUAUAUGUGUCAGGCGAGACCGCCCCCCUCUUUGCUCGCGAAGCGAGCAAAGAGAAAUAUCAAUAUAUCGAUAUCUGACUCUUUGCGUUUACGCGCAAAGAGGGGGGAGGAAGGAGGGGAUGACGCGAGGUCAGCGUGGCCCUUUGAUGCCCUGGGCUACACACGUGAUACAAUGGCGCGUACAAUGGGUCGCCAAGGCGCGAGCCGGAGCUAAUCCCAUCAAAGCGCGCCCCAGUUCAGAUUGGAGUCUGCAACUCGACUCCAUGAAGUUGGAAUCGCUAGUAAGCGCAUAUCAGCUAUGGUGCGCUGAAUACGUUCUCGAAUCUUGUACUCACCGCCCGUCACGUCAAAAAAGCCGGAAACAGGUAAAGUUCGUCCUUGCGGCGGAUCAACCUGGGUUCGGUGAUUGGGACGAAGUCGUAACAAGGCAUGGGUAGCGGAAGCUG
rnacentral:rRNA from 1 species